CAGGAGCGUGGGGUUGCCAUGGCAACCAGCGCGGGCUGCCCUAGGAAUCCUCGGGAGUAGUAAGCUCCCGCGCCAGCUGCGUUCUGCGUUGGGAUAACGUUUAUUUAUAACUGCUGAUAGACUGUGGUCUCGACAGUUCCAGUAUCAGCAUUGAAUUAGAGGAGAAAAGCAGUGUGGUGCAGUGGCUCUGGGGAGAUGCCUAUGGGAACCUGUUCAGCCAUUCUGCUGCAUGGACGAAACCAAAAGGGAGAAAAUUCUAACAUCUCAAUGGGCAACCCUUGACCAGUGGAGGAUGGACGACUGGACAAAUCAUCUACUCUUUCAUCUCCAGGCCUCUCUUAUGCACGGUUCAUUUUCUGGACUAACAAGACCAAGAGGUGGCCCUGCAGGGUCAAGCCCUGAAAUGUGGAAAUGCUGUCAGAGACACACCCAGAAACAAUGUGUUACCAGCUCUCUUGGCAUCCUUUAGCCCUGUCAAGUUGACACAGAAGUUAACCAGUACAGUGCCCGACAGGUGCAUGGACCUCACUGGUGCCAGCCCAGCAUGGAGCCCAAUUCAGGGCUUGAACUCACAACCUUGAGAUCAAGACU